rnacentral:rRNA from 1 species
GAGUUUGAUCAUGGCUCUGAUUGAACGCUGGCGGCAGGCCUAACACAUGCAAGUCGAGCGGCAGCACGGGGAGCUUGCUCCCUGGUGGCGAGCGGCGGACGGGUGAGUAAUGCAUGGGAAUCUGCCCGGUAGUGGGGGAUAACUCGGGGAAACCCGAGCUAAUACCGCAUACGUCCUAUGGGAGAAAGCAGGGGAUCUUCGGACCUUGCGCUAUCGGAUGAGCCCAUGUCGGAUUAGCUUGUUGGUGAGGUAACGGCUCACCAAGGCUGCGAUCCGUAGCUGGUCUGAGAGGAUGAUCAGCCACAUCGGGACUGAGACACGGCCCGGACUCCUACGGGAGGCAGCAGUGGGGAAUAUUGGACAAUGGGGGAAACCCUGAUCCAGCCAUGCCGCGUGUGUGAAGAAGGCUUUCGGGUUGUAAAGCACUUUCAGCGGGGAAGAAGGCAUGGCGGCUAAUACCCGCCAUGAAGGACAUCACCCGCAGAAGAAGCACCGGCUAACUCCGUGCCAGCAGCCGCGGUAAUACGGAGGGUGCAAGCGUUAAUCGGAAUUACUGGGCGUAAAGGGCGCGUAGGCGGCCUGCCAAGCCGGAUGUGAAAGCCCCGGGCUCAACCCGGGAACGGCAUUCGGAACUGGCAGGCUAGAGUGCAGGAGAGGAAGGUGGAAUUCCCGGUGUAGCGGUGAAAUGCGUAGAGAUCGGGAGGAAUACCAGUGGCGAAGGCGGCCUUCUGGACUGACACUGACGCUGAGGCGCGAAAGCGUGGGUAGCAAACAGGAUUAGAUACCCUGGUAGUCCACGCCGUAAACGAUGUCGACCAGCCGUUGGACCCCUUGA